UAUUGAAAGAGCACAACGUGUAUGAAAUUUUCAAAUUGACCCUAGACUUCCAAAAGGUUUAGCACCCCUUUCAUAAACAAUUAUCAACAAUUUAGUGUAACACCUACGAACCUUGUGUGAUGCUUGUACCAUAGAAGCAAGAGAUGCAUUCACUAUUAUAAAUGAUAUGUGCAUUGCUUUAUGCAUUUCACGUUAUGAGAGGUUUACUUCACUAUAAAUGCAGGGCCGAUCCUAGGUUCAUGGACGUUUGGGUUCUUUGCUUUUUUUUGGGGGCACCCCAGGUGUGCCUGGUCAUCUUACUAACCCCUCCCUUUUACAAAUGUCCAGUUCAGACAUGCCUGUUCCUAUGGCAACCUCUCCAUCUUUUUGUAAUCAGACACACACACACACUAACAGAUACACACUCACUGAAAAAUUGACACACACUCUCAAUGACAGACAUACAAUCGCAUCGAUUUUAUAACACACUGACACACUCUUAAUGACAGACACACAUUAUCACUUAUUUAAAACACAUACACUCACUGAAAGACACAUUUACACAUUCUUGGACACACACUCACAAAUUGAUUUUAUUUAUUGUGGUUCUAUUUUAUUUUUAGUGCCAUCCAGACUACCGUCCCUACCUUGGGGAGAG